rnacentral:lncRNA from 1 species
AAGCAUUUGAUGUCAAAAACUGGAUAGUCUUAAAAUUCAACAGCUUGAAUCUGUCUGCUUUCUUCAGAUAUGGCCGAGUGCCCAAACAAGUCCAGCCCUUGAUGUACGCCGCCAAAGACGAUUUGCACUCGCCUGCAUCCUCUGACACGUCCAAAGUUCCCGCCAAGAGGGCAAAGUCGGUCGAACCUCCACCAGUGCAGAAGUCCAAAAAGCCCAAACUGGUCACCCUGAGGUCGUCCAGGUCAGAGUUUAGUGACGAGGAGAACGAAAACGAGUGGGAGGAGGAGGAGCACCACCUCACCCGGAGCUCCAGUCGAGACGGCGACACUCACGGCUUUGUUCAGAGCAGCCUGCACGCCUCCAACACGGAGAUUUCAGAGGUGGAUGACACCAUGGUGGAGGUAAGGAGACUAGCUUCCCCCAUGCAUACUGUCCAUAAACAUCCAUCUUCUUCAUCACAUUUUUAUGUUUUCCCACAUUGUUUUGUACCAUUUCAAACAAUGCACUCUCGACUCCUCCCAUCCCACGCUUAGCUUGAUAUCUUGGACAGUAUGCCCGAUGUGCUGGGCCUUUCCCAAGAUGCCCUGUGUCCUGACUCAACCUGUCAGCAGGCAGAUCAUGACACAGGCACUUCUGAGCCCAGUGAGCACCAGCUGGACCUGCUUGUUGAUGUUAUAGACUUCAUUUCCUCGGAACAAACUGAAGGUAUGCGACUUGUCCGUUUUGUUUGUUUUUGUCUUAGGUGCGUCUGGUACCUGAUGCCGUAAAUUAAAUUGGACUUUUCAUGUUUCUUUCAGUGUCUCAGGAUGAGAGCUACACUGAAGCAGCUCAAACCCUUUUGACCAUUGGUAACCGAGCUCAAAUUUCUCCGUCUGCACAGAGUGGAGAUACCUUAGAAGAAUGCACUGCAGGAACAUCAGUUGGUGUCAGUGAGUUCACAUAUGCACAAGAGGAGAUUUUGACAGUUUCACCCCAGAAAAGGGUCCCUUCUGGGAAAUCUGCAGAUCAGAAAGUGACAUCGCCUCCCACCGAAAAGCACCAGAGUGCUGAAGUGGAAAGCAAUAACUCGCUUCCCGUUGAGACAAGUGAUCAGAACGUUGAUCAAUUGGGUUUUAAAUCUAUAGAGAAGUCUUCACUUAUAAAGGCUGGUCCGUGUUCUAAGGUGAAGCCUAAACCAAACCUCGGUCACAGCUCAAGGACUGCAAAACCGGUAUCUCACACUGAGAUGUCGACAGAAGGGGGAGCUGGAAUAAGCUGCUCAGUUGCUCAAUGUGUUUCUCAAGAUGAUGAGACUUCACUAUCUGCUGAAGAAACAUCCCCUGGAAUAUCAGCUUCUGCUGCAGCAUUGUUUAAAGAUAACACUUCCUCUCAGCGCGCCUGCUUGGAUCAGGUUGAAACAGGUGCAGCAGAUCAGAAUCUCCUGAAAAGCCAGAGUCAGACUGUAAUUCAGUCCCAGUUGGGGCCUCCUGUAAAGUCCAAGGCUGGCUUAAAUAAACCAGUUGAAGCAGUGCCAGAGGUUAAAAAAGCGUCAAGCAACGAUCACAGCCCAGUUCCAGACAGAACCAGCAAACCUCAACCCUCGGUUGCAGACAACUCUUCUGUGAGUCACACAGGAGAAGGUGAUGUAAAAAGUCCUUCUCAGCCCAGAGGCAGACUGCCAAAAGUCAAACCCAAACCAAUCUUACUGCAGACGUCAAGAAUAGCUAGAUCCAAACGGCAAACCACUGAAGGGGUGGCAGAGAAAGAGUCAAUUGAAAGUCAGAAUACUUCAACUAAAAUGCCAGCAGAACUUCCAGAUGAACGGACUACAAGUGAGGAGACAACAAGUCCUAAAUGUCUAAAUCAAGCAGCACCUGUUCAGAGCGCUACAGAAACUCUGAUCUCUGCCAAAGUCGUGCCUGAGCUCUGUGUGGAGCAGACCAGCAAAGACUCUGAAGCCACUUCUGAAACUGUGUCAACUGAACAAACAGACCCAGAACUACCAGCUCCACAUGGGUCACAUUUGGGUUCAGAAAGAAAAGAAGAUUCUGCUGCAGUUGCUGAAGCAACCUCCAAUCAAGAUGAGAAAAAAACGGGAUCUUCUCAGUCAAGAAAGGGUCGACUACAAAAGGUUAAACCCAAACCAAACAUACCACAGUUGUUGAGAGGUGCAAGAUCCAAAGCUCAGAACACAGAAGAUGCCAUCCAAAAAAAUCUGGAGCUUCACAAAAACCCAUCCGUAGAGGCGGAAACACAAACAAAACUCACCCAAAAACUGUCUGCAAAUAAGGAGAUGAAGACAAAAGAUGGAGUUGAAGAUCAAGAAGAAUUGGGUGGAGCACCAUCAGGUCAAAGUCCUACAAAAGCCAAGAAUCUCUCCAUCGAGUCCAGUUUGGAGCAGGCAACUGGAGAUGCACUAUCAAUUCCUGAUUUAACCAAAGAAAGUGCAGCAUCCCAUGUUGAAGAUCCAGUUUUAAAGGCCUGUGAGGUCACAGAACCAGAACAAGGACUACAUUUGGAUUUUAUUGAAAGUGCAAAUUCAGCUUCUUUAAAUAAGUCUGUAGAAGAGUUGGCAGUCAUGCAAAAAGAGGAAAAAUCGUUGCCAACAGGUCAGACAAAGAGAGAUCGACUGUCAAAAAUCAAACCAAACCUUCAAACAUCAAGAGCUGCAAGAUCUACAUCUCAAACCACUGAAGAAGUUACGCAAAAAGACUUGUUUCCAGGUGAAGGACCUGAUUUCACGAAGGUGGAACCAGAACAGGAACUGUCUGUAAAUAAAGACACAUGGAGAGAGGCUGGGUUUGUAGACCCCAAAGUAUUGACAGACAAGAGCACCAAAGAAAGCCCAAAUCCCUGUGAAGAUCAGCCUGAGCCAUGUAAGGAGCAAACCAUAAGAGAUAGAGGAGCAACGUCUGAUUCAGCUCCAGAAAAUCUGUCAUACUGUUUUGGGCUACAGUCAAAUGUGGAGCCAGGAAAAAGUGGAAAGCCUUCAGCAGCAGCACAGGAACCAAGUGCAUCUGAUGAAAGGAAGACGGGUCAAAUCAAAAAACGUAAACCCAAACCAAACCUGGUACAGACAUCAAGAGCUCUGAGGUCCAAAUCCUCAAAAGAUUCACAGGAUAAGAACUCAAGUUCCAUAAUAGAACCCAAAGUCCAUGAAGAUGCCAUGUCAUUGGUGGAAGCAAACCUGUCUUUGGACAGUCAAUCUGAAACCGUUCCUACUUCAACAGUACAGCCUGUUAUGACUUUAGACUCAACUUCCACUCCAACAACAUACUCUUCUUCAAAUGACGAUCAAAGGGAAUUAACUAGACUGGAUUCGAUUGAUAUGAUUGCAGAAAUAUCAGAUCAGAGCACCACAGAGAACCAGAACUUCCCUGAAGUCCAGAUUGGUAACACCAGAGUUGAAGAAUCUCUGACGGAGUUCUCUGAUAAAAACCUAAAAUCUCAUGUUGAACCAACUGAUUCAAGAGUUCCAGAGGCACCAAAGCUGGGUUUGGAUCCAACUUCAUCUGUUGCAGGGCCUCCAGCCGUCAAACAAGGUUCUGAAGUUGCAUCUUCUUGUUUAUCAGUGAGGAACAGAUUAUCAAAAAUUAAACCCAAACCCAACUUGACAAAAACCUCAAGAGCUGCAAGAUUGAGACCUCAGAUCUCAAAAGAAUCAGCACAAAGUUCUGAAUCCUGCAAAAAGUUUGAACCAGAAAACAGCAACAUCUCCAAUUCUGUUUCAGGUUCAGAACAAUCCAAGAAUGCAUUCCCUGCAGAAGAGAAACAUCCUAGACGUGUAGAUCAGGCGGACACGGAUGCAGCCACAACAGGUUGCAGUGCUCCAAAGAAACAGAACAUCUGUCAAGUCCUGGUUGAAGAACAAACAUCUGCAGACCAGGCAUCGGCCUCUGAGAUGAGAGAGGAAGCAUCUCCGGUUGGGAAGUCACCAGAUGUUCGGCAUUUAUCUGCACAGGCGUGUUCAGAAGAAGCUGAAUCAAACGCUAAGUUUAGGAGAUUACAGAAAAUUCGCCCCAAACCGAAUUUACCAAAUAAAUCAAGAACGGCAAGAAUUGGAACACCAACCAUAAAUGACCCAAAGGAAAAAGAUUUGAGUGAAACUCAAUUUGAACAAGACUUGAUUGAACAAACAUCUGCAGGAAACCAGAACAUCACUGAAGUUCCCAAUGAAGAUCAGACCACUGGAAAAAUUGAGGAAACAUCCUCUUUUGUUGAGGUGAGAAAUUUAGCAUGUGAAGAAGCAGAAAAGGGAGAAGUGUCCUUUGUGGGGCAGGAGCUCCAUCUUGCUGCAUCAGGAACCAAGCAACAUGUUGGUGAAGAGGAUGAAGCUGCAUCUACGUCUCAAUCCAAGAGGAGGCGUUUUCAGAAACCUGAACCAAACCUCCCUGUGACAUCAAAAGGCGCUAAAUCUAAACCCGAAUUCCCUAAAGAGCCAGUCCAACUCACGCUCGCUAUGAAGCAACCACAGAUCUCCACCUCCAAAUCUAUGGAGCAACCUCAGAUCUCUAUUUCUAAAUCUGUGGAGCAACCUCAGAUCUCCACCUCCAAAUCUAUGGAUCAACCUCAGAUCUCCAUCUCCAAAUCUUCUGACCGCUCAACAUCAAAAGAAGAUGGUCAGUUUGUGUUGACUUCUCAUAAAAUCAAAAGUUCAGUUGCGGAACCGUUCGUCGAAUUGAGCCCAUCUCAUAAAUUUGUAGAGGAAUCAACCUCCGAGUGCAAAACAAAUGUUGAACAAGUCUCCAAUUCAGAGCAAAAUCUUCUUCAGAGAAGACCAAGGCUUUCCAGAGUCAGACCCAAACCUAAUCUAGAAGUAUCCAGUCGAGCUUUGCGGCGAAAAGUUCAGCCAGGUGACGGUUCCAAACCUUCAGGUGAAACUUCCACACCUCCAAGUGGCCUUAAGACGUCAGUGGAGAUGGAACCAGGUGGAGAAAAAAUGGACAGUGAAGGUCCAGCUGAGAGGGACUUGAUGGAUCCGUCUGCAGCUGUGGAUGCUCAGGUCUCAACACAAGUCGGUUCUACAUCAACCUCCAAAGCCAGCUCGGUCAGUGCAGAGGGACACUCCUCAACCCAAAGUAUUGAUUCUGCUGAAUCAGAAGCAGCUGACUCUUCUGAGACGUCAAAUAAAGCUCCUCAACCUCCCAACAUCACGUGCAGCAGUCUUGCACAGCGCAGACAGACGGAUGCAGAUUCUGACACUAGCUCGAGGACAGCUUCGUUGGAGCCUCGCCCUGGCAGUCGAUGGCCAGUAGGUGGAGACAUUGAUGAGACGAGAGACAAAUCGUCCUGUCUAGAUCCUGCUUCUCAAGAAGUGUCAUCUACGCAAAAUACGUCGGCUUUAAAUCCGGAGGGGAUCCACACUUAUCCGCUUCUGAUGGAGAGUAAGUCGUUCUUCUCCCACCGCGGCUUUGUUUGAAGUGUUUCCGUUAAACGCCUUCUCUUUUUAUUUUAAUUUUUUUUGUCAGUGCUGCCCGAGCAGGUGCCUUCAGAUCCGGAUGAACCGUUCUUCGUCCUUUCUCUGAUGGAGAUCCCGGGGGAGGCGGUAACCAGCGCGGCCGAGAAGCCGCCUCAUCACCCCGUCGCAGAUGCUGUCACGCUGCGGCCGUGGUCAGUGCUGCUGCUCCCUUCGGCCGAAUGGAGUUUGUUUCAUCUGCCGUCGGCGCUUACAACCUUCUCCCCUGUGUAGGGAUUCUGGAGAGAGUUCCACAGCAGCAGCAGGAGAGAAGUCCGUCUCUGGCGUCUCCACAAAAAGUGCAGAAACAAGUUCUGCAUCUGAAGGUGAAGCUGCAAAUCAAAUUAAACUUUAUUUAUAACACUUUGCAUACUCAUGUAGCUCAAAGUGCUACAUAUAUAUCUAUAUAUAUAUAGAUAUAUAUAUGACUUUCACACAUAAAAAAUUAUAAAACACAUACAAUACCCACAAAAGCCUGACCUUUUUUUUUUUAGAAAUACCUUUGUAAUCAUUGUUUGCAUGAGGACUAAACACAAGAUAAGCUGUCGGCUUAAACGUUUGUUAGAAGAGUUAUUGAGUCAGUAAGUCUGAACCGAUGAAUAUCUUGCCAAUUUUACCAAACUGGUUUUGCGAGCCUCCUGCUGAAACUAGAGCUGCGCUUUACGGCAGUAAAAGGUCUUGAUCCAUUCAUGACCUGCACACUUCUAGUAGGGCAUUUAUUUUAAAGAAUAAGCUUGAAAUAUACAGCGUCGAUCAAAGUAAUAUAAAGUAAAUAUCGGAUUCCGGGUCGAGUCUGAAACUACGUGAUCAGGCCAGAUUUACUGUGGCUGCAGAGUGAUCCUCCUAUCAAAUUUUUAUUUUUUUCUCUGUUUUUUAAAUAUUUUUAUGCCUCAUUGUUAAAUCUUACGGUUUUUAACGUUUUUAAUCCAGAAAAACCUGCAGAAAAUCUAGAAACCUGUGUUGCCAGAGAGACGGACGCAGCAGCUGAGAAUAAAGGUAUUCACAACAUUUCUCUUUCAAAUGCUUAUAAAAAUAAACAUUUAUUUUUCUGUAUUUAAUUUUUAUUGCCUCUUUUAACAGUUAUUUCAACAAGGAGAAGAAGAACUAAAGCUGAAGCUACCGUCAGCCAGAGAAGUGAGGCUGAAGCUGCUUCUGACCCACGAAGUUGUAAAAAAGGAAAAAGCUUGAAGAAAUCUGACAGCAGUUUGGGCUCCAAAAAAAGUAACACAAGCAGUCGUCAGACUAGGUAAGGUAUUUUUUUAUAUAUUAACAAUUUGUCAAUGAUAUUACCCUUUAAGAUCUAGUUUUUCUGUCCCUUACAGAAAAGCAAAAGACGUUUCCCAUGAAGUCAAAACGUCGCCCAGCGAUUCCCCUGCUGCGAAGGCGAAGACGUCUGCUAAGAAAGCAGCUUCUGCGUCACAUGAAGAUGCUGCACCAGCCAAAGUCCGUUCAGCUCCUGUGGGGUCGCAGUCCAGACCCACCGCCGACCAGACACCCGGCACCUCAACUCCCAGCUCCACCCUCCGCACCGCCCGGGUAAGACGGCAACUAGCGGCUGAAAACAUGUCAUUUCUUUUCUCUCAUUUGGGUUUGUGUUGAUCUUUGCAGGAAAGCUGUGCUGAGAUCAGCUCAGCAGAGGAGGAGCCCACCAGCGUGUCGCAGUACUUCAUUAGUGACAUUUUCACAGAAGUGGAUGAGUCAUGAACACCGGAUUCUCAUUUAAAGAAGCUCCUGUUUUUUAGUCUUAGUUGUGAUGUUUUUAUAGUCCAAUACACCCCCCCCCCAAACCCCAAUGGCACUUUGAAUUGGUUUUGGAGUUGAAAUCAGUGCUUUUUGAAAAUGCACUUAGAUGAUAAAUGCUAAAGUCUGAAAGCUAAAGCGGCAGCAGCUGAAUGUUUCAGUUCAGCCUCAAAUUUUACUCAACAACUGUGAAAAUGUAAAUAUGUUGUGUGUUUCAUUUUGUACUUGAUGCCACUUUCUAAAUUGUGUACAGCUUUAUACAACCCUCUUGUGUACAUAAUUUUAUUUAGUUAAGCAAACUCCAUCAAAGGUGAAUUUAUGGAUGUUUCCAUGAAUGGUUGACGAGUAACAGUGGUUUACAAUAAAUCAAGAUAAACACUUGAUUGGGUUUUUUAUUUGACUUUUUUAUGUGUUUCUUUAUAUUUAAUUUAUAACUGUAGAGACU